UACGGGGGGAGCAAGCGUUGUUCGGAUUUACUGGGCGUAAAGGGCGCGUAGGCGGUCAGCACAAGUCAGUUGUGAAAUCUCCGGGCUUAACUCGGAACGGUCAAGUGAUACUGUCGGGCUAGAGUACAGAAGGGGCAACUGGAAUUCUCGGUGUAGCGGUGAAAUGCGUAGAUAUCGAGAGGAACACCUGCGGCGAAGGCGGGUUGCUGGGCUGAUACUGACGCUGAGGCGCGAAAGCUAGGGGAGCGAACGGG
rnacentral:rRNA from 1 species